AUUGAACGCUGGCGGCAGGCCUAACACAUGCAAGUCGAACGAGUGGCGGACGGGUGAGUAAUGUCUGGGAAACUGCCCGAUGGAGGGGGAUAACUACUGGAAACGGUAGCUAAUACCGCAUACCAUCGGAUGUGCCCAGGUGGGAUUAGCUAGUAGGUGGGGUAACGGCUCACCUAGGCGACGAUCCCUAGCUGGUCUGAGAGGAUGACCAGCCACACUGGAACUGAGAUACGGCCCAAACUCCUACUGGAGGCAGCAGUGGGGAAUAUGUCACAAUGGUCGAAAGCCUGAUGCAGCAACGCCGCGUGCGGGAAGACGGCCUUCGGGUUGUAAACCGCUUUCAUCUAUGACGCGGUAAUAGAAGAAGAAGCACCGGCUAACUACGUGCCAGCAGCCGCGGUAAUUC
rnacentral:rRNA from 1 species